CAGGUAAAUACCUGGCGGUGGCGUCACAUGACAGCUUCGUGGACAUCUACAACGUGCUGAGCAGCAAGAGAGUCGGCAUCUGUAAAGGAGCGUCCAGUUACAUCACGCACAUCGACUGGGACGCCCGAGGUAAACUGCUGCAGGUCAACACGGGAGCUAAAGAGCAGCUGUUCUUUGAAGCCCCGCGAGGAAAACCACAAACCAUCAGAAACUGUGAGCUGGAGCGGAUCGAGUGGGCCGGCUGGACGUCGGUUCUGGGCUCCACCUGUGAGGGAAUCUGGCCGACGCACAGCGACAUCACCGACAUCAACGCCACGUCGCUCACCAGAGACCACGCGCUGCUCGCCACCGGAGACGACUUUGGCUUCCUCAAACUGUUCAGCUAUCCCGUCAGAGUACGACACACACACACACACAC